GAUGAACGCUGGCGGCGUGCCUAAUACAUGCAAGUCGAGCGAACAGACGAGGAGCUUGCUCCUCUGACGUUAGCGGCGGACGGGUGAGUAACACGUGGAUAACCUACCUAUAAGACUGGGAUAACUUCGGGAAAACGGAGCUAAUACCGGAUAAUAUAUUGAACCGCAUGGUUCAAUAGUGAAAGACGGUUUUGCUGUCACUUAUAGAUGGAUCCGCGCCGCAUUAGCUAGUUGGUAAGGUAACGGCUUACCAAGGCAACGAUGCGUAGCCGACCUGAGAGGGUGAUCGGCCACACUGGAACUGAGACACGGUCCAGACUCCUACGGGAGGCAGCAGUAGGGAAUCUUCCGCAAUGGGCGAAAGCCUGACGGAGCAACGCCGCGUGAGUGAUGAAGUUCUUCGGAUCGUAAAACUCUGUUAUUAGGGAAGAACAAAUGUGUAAGUAACUAUGCACGUCUUGACGGUACCUAAUCAGAAAGCCACGGCUAACUACGUG
rnacentral:rRNA from 1 species